GUCAGAAUAGCCGUGCGGUCUAACGCGCCAGAUUUAAGCUGUGGUUCUCGAAAGAGAGUGUGGGUUCGAAUCCCUCUUCUGACA